rnacentral:rRNA from 1 species
UACGUAGGCAGCAAGCGUUGUUCGGAAUUACUGGGCGUAAAGAGUGUGUAGGCGGUGCUCUAAGUUCGGUGUGAAAUCUCCCGGCUCAACUGGGAGGGUGCGCCGAAAACUGGAGUGCUGGAGCGCGGGAGAGGAAAGCGGAAUUCCUGGUGUAGCGGUGAAAUGCGUAGAUAUCAGGAGGAACACCUGUGGCGAAAGCGGCGCACUGGACCACAACUGACGCUGAGGCGCGAAAGCUAGGGGAGCAAACAGG